rnacentral:rRNA from 1 species
GCCAGACUCCUACGGGAGGCAGCAGUGGGGGAUAUUGCACAAUGGGGGGAACCCUGAUGCAGCGACGCCGCGUGGGUGAAGGAGUGCUUCGGCAUGUAAAGCCCUAUCGGCAGGGAAGAAGCAAGACGGUACCUGACUAAGAAGCCCCGGCUAACUACGUGCCAGCAGCCGCGGUAAUACGUAGGGGGCAAGCGUUAUCCGGAUUUACUGGGUGUAAAGGGAGCGUAGACGGCGAUGCAAGCCAGAUGUGAAAGCCCGGGGCUCAACCCCGGGACUGCAUUUGGAACUGUGUGGCUGGAGUGUCGGAGAGGCAGGCGGAAUUCCUAGUGUAGCGGUGAAAUGCGUAGAUAUUAGGAGGAACACCAGUGGCGAAGGCGGCCUGCUGGACGAUGACUGACGUUGGGGCUCGAAAGCGUGGGGAGCAAACAGGAUUAGAUACCCCAGUA